GACGAACGCUGGCGGCGUGCUUAACACAUGCAAGUCGAGCGGUAAGGCCCUUUCGGGGGUACACGAGCGGCGAACGGGUGAGUAACACGUGGGUGACCUGCCCUCAGCUCUGGGAUAAGCCCGGGAAACUGGGUCGUAAUACUGGAUAUGACUCCAUGACGCAUGUUGUGGGGUGGAAAGCCUUGUGCGGCUGAGGAUGGGCCCGCGGCCUAUCAGCGUUGUUGGUGGGGNGAUGGCCUACCAAGGCGACGACGGGUAGCCGG
rnacentral:rRNA from 1 species